CCUACGGGAGGCAGCAGUCGGGAAUCUUGCACAAUGGGCGAAAGCCUGAUGCAGCAACACCGUGUGAGCGAUGAAGGCCCUAGGGUCGUAAAGCUCUGUUGUUAGGGACGAAGGGCGAAGGGUUAAUAGCCCUUAGCCUGACGGUACCUUUCGAGGAAGCCCCGGCUAACUACGUGCCAGCAGCCGCGGUAAUACGUAGGGGGCGAGCGUUGUCCGGAAUUAUUGGGCGUAAAGAGCGUGUAGGCGGCUUGGUAAGUCUGCUGUGAAACCUUGGGGCUCAACCCCAAGCGUGCAGUGGAUACUGUCAAGCUAGAGGAUGGUAGAGGCCAGUGGAAUUCCCGGUGUAGCGGUGAAAUGCGCAGAUAUCGGGAGGAACACCAGUAGCGAAGGCGGCUGGCUGGGCCAUUCCUGACGCUGAGACGCGAAAGCUAGGGGAGCGAACAGGAUUAGAUACCCUGGUAGUCCUAGCCGUAAACGAUGAACACUAGGUGUGGGGGGAGUCGAAUCCCUCCGUGCCGAAGCCAACGCGUUAAGUGUUCCGCCUGGGGAGUACGGCCGCAAGGCUAAAACUCAAAUGAAUUGACGGGG
rnacentral:rRNA from 1 species